rnacentral:misc_RNA from 1 species
AUGAUUGCGAAUAAUAAGGCGAGGGGAAAGGAGGGAGCUGUCGCUGGCCUUUCGCGAGGCAUGUGCACGCUUUCUUUAGAACCUUCGUCGUAUGGGCGCGGGGCGACCCGCGUCUUCAUAUACCUCUUCGUGUAGAAAGUCUUUGAAUGUUUUUUUAAAAUCAUCGAGUCGUGACUUCUAGGAGACGCGAUUCUUUGAGACAAAAGUUAUUA